rnacentral:rRNA from 1 species
CCAUAUUAUUGGGCCUAAAGCGUCCGUAGCUGGCCGACCAAGUCUACCGGGAAAUCCACCCGCCCAACGGGUGGGCGUCCGGUAGAAACUGGCCGGCUUGGAACCGGAAGGCUCAGAGAGUACGUCCGGGGUAGGAGUGAAAUCCCGUAAUCCCGGACGGACUACCGAUGGCGAAAGCACUCUGAGAAGACGGCUUCGACAGUGAGGGACGAAAGCUCGGGUCUCAAACC